rnacentral:lncRNA from 1 species
AUUGCAGCCUGUGGAGAGGAGGGACCCUGAGAGGGAUUGGAACCAACAGAGCAACAUUUACGCUGACUGGAUCUGCUGUGGGGAUGUGACCUCCUGUGGGAGGACCUGCUCGGCUUGCUGCUGUGGUGGCUGCUAGAGUUGGGACGUUUGGCAGGUGCUGGGCCCGCGGAUGGCAGAACCCAACCCGGUAGUGCUUCGGGGAGCAGAGCUGGAGGAGAGAAUGAGCCUCCCGUCAGCGUCCUUCCAAUCUGGGGAGAAAGCCACCGCCCCCCCCCCCCCCCCCCUGCGGUGAGGGGUUACUGGUCCUCUGACCCUGGUAAUGAUGGAGGGUCAGGAGUCAGGUUGUUUGAAGGAACCAUCUACGUCUGCAGAGCGCGUGAGGAGCGCCUGGGAACCAGAGCUCAGCAUGAGGGGCACGGCCGCAACAGGAGACGCAGCAGCGGAAAUGGCAGAUCUCUGCGGUCGGACUGUCGCUGGGUGACCUGGGCAGCUCGUCUGCCCGCCUGUCUGCAGCGGGACCGACGGUGACAGCGGACGGAAAACAUUCGUCUGAGGUGACGGGGAAAAAAAGUCCCAUCUGCUUCUCUCAUCAAACUGGUUCUCGCUCUCGUUCUUGACUACUUCAAAGACAUGUAUUGUCUGUAAAUAAAGAUUUACAACAGCUCCUAAAACCCAAAGAGCCCCUAUUGUCUGUUGCUCCACGGUUUCAGAUGGAACGUCGGCGCUAAAGAACCGACACAAAGUGAAAACCUUCCGCAUCGACAGCUGAGCUCUGCCCAAAUUAGCGUCAUGAGCCGCACUUUGACACCAGGAAUCUGCCGAGAUGACAGCGUCGAGCACGGUUCGGGUCAACGAAGCCAGCACAGGCUGUGGCGCAUCCUCCCAGUGACGCAAUGGUUGUCGGUUCAAUACCGGACCCUUGCAAUGCCGCCCAUUAAUGCAGCCUCCUCAAGAACAUGUGGACAUAAAUGUAAUGAAGCUUGUUGCUCCCUAUAGAGGUGAAAACACAUCUGUGUGUGUGUGUGUGUGUGUGUGUGUGUGUGUGUGUGUGUGUGUGUGUGUGUGUGUGUGUGUGUGUGUGUGUGUGUGUGAGUACCGCUGAGACUGGCCCCUCCAGCGAAGGCUUCCUCUUCAUCUCCUGCAUCUGCUGCUCCCCUCGGCGCUCCGAGGCCAAACCGCCGCUGUCUGUGCGUCUGCUCGGCCCGUUUGGAUGCGACCGCUUCCGCCGUGUCUGCAGGCACGUCGUGGCAGCUAUGAAACCGAUCCGUUUAAUCACAGGGGGAUCUUGGGAGCUUUCUCGUCUGGCUGUUGCCUCGCAGAGGAUUUGAACAGACAUUUCGAAACAAUCAAAUCUAUUAGUUGGGACUUCUGCUGUCUGAUCCCUCGCCGCAGACACGCCCGAUUCACAAAAUCCC